CGCGUAGGUGGUUUGAUUAGUCGGAUGUGAAAGCCCCGGGCUCAACCUGGGAACUGCAUUCGAUACUGUCGAACUAGAGUAUGGUAGAGGGAAGGGGAAUUCCAGGUGUAGCGGUGAAAUGCGUAGAUAUCUGGAGGAACAUCAGUGGCGAAGGCGCCUUCCUGGACUAAUACUGACACUGAGGUGCGAAAGCGUGGGUAGCAAACA
rnacentral:rRNA from 1 species